rnacentral:rRNA from 1 species
UACAGAGGGUGCAAACGUUGCUCGGAAUCAUUGGGCGUAAAGCGCACGUAGGCGGUCCAGCAAGCGGGGAGUGAAGGCCCUCGGCUUAACCGAGGAAGUGCUUUCCGAACUACUGGACUUGAGUACUGAAGAGGGUCGCGGAAUUCCCGGUGUAGAGGUGAAAUUCGUAGAUAUCGGGAGGAACACCAGUGGCGAAGGCGGCGACCUGGCAGAUACUGACGCUGAGGUGCGAAAGUG